GGACAAGCUCCGGGGCUGUUUUCCUUGGCUGCCCCCCACGGCCUUCGCUCCUGGUGCCCUGGGAGACAGCCUUAUCUCUUCUAAGCCCAGACUAGCCCGAGGCACUUCCCUGAUUAAGGCCGGUUAGUGGCUCCUGACUGCCCACAGGACAAAGCCCAGAUGCCACCAACGUUCCUUGCCAGGUCCCCAAGCUGGUUGGUGUGUGGCAGGCGGUAGCCUCAGACUGAGGACACAGGCCCAGGGAUGGGCCAGCCAGCAGCCCCUGAUAUUCCCAGGGUCUCGGUCAGGACCACCUAUUGGACCCCAUUCCCAGCCCCCUCGACCAGGGAGGAGCCAGCUGGUAGAAAUGGUGAAGAGAGUCGCCCCACUGCCACCCGGCCCAGAACGUCUCCCCUCAGUUUCCCUUUUGCAGCCACCUUGAAGGCCACAGGGCAAAGACCGUGGCACCAGAGGACAGAUGGAGCCUGGUCCCUGAGUCAC
rnacentral:lncRNA from 1 species